UUCUAACCUAAUGGCUUCAUCUCUUUCUCUGCGCCUAAAUCGAUUUAGUCUCUUUCUCUCUGUCUCUGCAAAUCGUUGAUUCUCUCUGAGACUCGUUUUUUCAGUUAGUCAGUUCUCAGAGUCAGAGACUCUGACUCCCUGUCUCUCAUCUCUUAGUCUUUGUUGCUGUCUUCCCGAGUCCCGACCGUCUGUCUCUCUCUCUCUCGACUCUCGCUAAGGCAAUAGUUGAUCUCUGUCUCUCUCAACUCCAGUAUAUAUUUCUCUUUGCCUCUGUCUCUUUAUGGUGUUGUCUCUGUCUCUCAAUGUCAUUAUCUCUUUCGAUCUAUCUCUUGUUUUGGACAGAAAUUGAGGUGGCUGAUUCUGGUGAUCAAAAUGAGAGCUUGCCUACGUUUGAAGCGUUUUAACAGACGUGUAAGUUGUGUAGUUAAUUAGUCAUUUGCCUGCAUUUCAUUUAUUUUCUCAUCUCACUAAACUAUUUUACCACUUAGGGCAGCUGAAACACUUGAGAUGUGGCAAAAACAAGAAAGAAGACCCUAUGUAAUUUGUUUUCAAUUUGGAACUUAUGGUUUGUGUGUUGUUUGUUAAAACUUAAACUUAUCUAUCGUUGAAGCUUAAAACUAUAUUAUGUUUUAUGUGUUUCUGAUGUUUGUUUGUGAUUUGGAAUUUUUUUUUUUAAUUCUGGCGGGUUACC
rnacentral:lncRNA from 1 species